AACGCGAAGAACCUUACCAAGUCUUGACAUCCCAUUGAACGUUCCUUAACCGGGAUUUUUCUUUGGGGCAGUGGAGACAGGUGGUGCAUGGUUGUCGUCAGCUCGUGUCGUGAGAUGUUGGGUUAAGUCCCGCAACGAGCGCAACCCUUAUCCUUAGUAGCCAGCACGUAAUGGUGGGCACUCUGGGGAGACUGCCAGGGAUAACCUGGAGGAAGGUGGGGAUGACGUCAAAUCAUCAUGCCCCUUAUGAUUUGGGCUACACACGUGCUACAAUGGCGUAAACAAAGGGAAGCAAAGGAGCGAUGGGGAGCAAACCCCAAAAAUAACGUCUCAGUUCGGAUUGCAGUCUGCAACUCGCCUGCAUGAAGCUGGA
rnacentral:rRNA from 1 species